rnacentral:rRNA from 1 species
UACGAAGGGGGCUAGCGUUGUUCGGAUUUACUGGGCGUAAAGCGCACGUAGGUGGCGACGUAAGUCGGGUGUGAAAGCCCCGGGCUCAACCUGGGAAUUGCAUUCGAGACUGCAUUGCUGGAGUACGGAAGAGGAGGGCGGAAUUCCCGGUGUAGCGGUGAAAUGCGUAGAUAUCGGGAGGAACAUCAGUGGCGAAGGCGGCCCUCUGGUCCAGUACUGACACUCAAGUGCGAAAGCGUGGGGAGCAAACAGG